rnacentral:rRNA from 1 species
UACGGAGGGGGCGAGCGUUAUUCGGAAUUAUUGGGCGUAAAGGGCGCGUAGGCGGCUCUGUAAGUCAAAGGUGAAAUCCCUCGGCUCAACUGAGGAACUGCCUUUGAAACUGCAGGGCUUGAGGCCGGGAGGGGGUAGCGGAAUUCCCAAUGUAGCGGUGAAAUGCGCAGAUAUCGGGAAGAACACCCGUGGCGAAGGCGGUUCUCUGGGACGGUACUGACGCUGAGACGCGAAAGCGUGGGGAGCGAACAGG